rnacentral:rRNA from 1 species
AUGCACGCUUAUGCAGUGAACUCUGCUUUGUGUAUUCGAUUUGGCACUGGAUUUCAGUAUUUUGCAUGCAUCCGAGGUUACAUUUUGGUGAACCAUAUGUCGACGUGCAGUGUGGAUUUAUUCAGGGAUAAUUUUGCUUUCUGUUCAGGAGAGGUGCUGACUCUGCCCACUGUCCGAUACUUUAACUUUUAUUAUGAUUUAAAAGUACUCUUUUAUCAUAGCCGUAUGUUGAUCAAGGACAAGUUUGACCAUACCAUUCUUUUAGUUAUGGCAUGUUUUGGUUGUCUGUUGUGGAAAGAGAAAUCUUAUCAGAACGCAAGUUUUCUGUUCACUUUAAUAACAGGUUCAGCAAGCACAAGAGAUUUCAGCUAA